CUCCUCCCCCAGCAAGGAGCGCACUAGGCUCUCGGGGACUUUGCGCCCCAGCUUGAGCUCGAUGUCUCGCAGAUCUGGCAGGGAACAAUCUUCCAUGGCUUUUGAGUAAAGAAGGCUUUUCGGAUUAAGGGAGCUGCAGUCGGCGGCGGUGGCGGCAGCAGCGGAAGAGCAGAAGAUCCAAGCCUCUAGCCGCACCGCCCGGGACUUGCCGACCUCUCCAUGUUAGUCCAGUUUAGGCCCCCUAAAUAUGGACUCCGUUCAGAAACUACAAGCAGUGCUACUUCAUUCCAUGAAAUUGAUUGCCAGGAAAUUUAGGACCAACAAACGGAGGAUACACAAGCUUUGAUGAGCAGCCCUCCCCCCACCUAUCCAGGGCCUACUCUCUGGCUACAGUAGAGCUCUGUGGAGCUGAUAUGAGCUCUUCUGGCCUUGGCUCUUCUUCCUCUUUUAAUAAAGUUGAAGCCUGUGUUAAUUA